CUUGGUGGUCUUGCAGUUGCUUGAUAGAUGAAAUUAGUGCAGGCGGUGUUUAACUUGAAAAUUGACAUUUGUUCCUUUUCUGUUAAAAUAUGGUGUUUAUCGGUAAAAGCAAAUAGUUACUCAAGUAGUCAGAAUGUUUUCAGGUAUAUGUAGGAUCACAUAUAUUCAUGCACUGUAAUUUUAUGAAAAUUCUGCUGAGUGAUGACAUUCAAACACACACAUAUAACCAUAACAUCCUCUUAUCCUGAUAUACAUGUAAUAUUUGUCACUGGACACUAAAACACAAAU
rnacentral:lncRNA from 1 species